AGUAUGCUUGGUUUGGCGCUACAGUCGACGAGAUAUGCAACACCAUGAAGAAUGGUUUUGAUCGCCAGAUUAAUGACAAUAGUGGAUUAUAUGGCUGUGGCAUCUAUCUUUCUCCGGAUGAUUCUCUUCUUCAAACUGUGAAGAAUUCGAGGGUUGACAAGGAUGGUUUAGGCCAUUUGUUGUUGUGCCGUGUUAUACUGGGUGCUACAGAGGUUGUGCUUCCUGGUUCUGAGCAGUGUCAUCCGAGUUCUGAGGAGUUUGA
rnacentral:misc_RNA from 1 species